AGUGAACGCUGGCGGUAGGCCUAACACAUGCAAGUCGAACGGCAGCACAGUAAGAGCUUGCUCUUACGGGUGGCGAGUGGCGGACGGGUGAGGAAUACAUCGGAAUCUACUUUUUCGUGGGGGAUAACGUAGGGAAACUUACGCUAAUACCGCAUACGACCUACGGGUGAAAGCAGGGGAUCUUCGGACCUUGCGCGAUUGAAUGAGCCGAUGUCGGGUUAGCUAGUUGGCGGGGUAAAGGCCCACCAAGGCGACGAUCCGUAGCUGGUCUGAGAGGAUGAUCAGACACACUGGAAGUGAGACACGGUCCAGACUCCUACGGGAGGCAGCAGUGGGGAAUAUUGGACAAUGGGCGCAAGCCUGAUCCAGCAAUACCGCGUGGGUGAAGAAGGCCUUCGGGUUGUAAAGCCCUUUUGUUGGGAAAGAAAAGCAGCAGGUUAAUACCCCGCUGUUCUGACGGUACCCAAAGAAUAAGCACCGGCUAACUUCGUG
rnacentral:rRNA from 1 species